rnacentral:telomerase_RNA from 1 species
UCUUUGCGGGGUGUCUUAUCUAACCCUAAAUGAGGGCCGUCGCCUGUACGUAACGUUUGCUGUUUUAGGCUUUCAGCAGACUACAGGGGACUUUUUUCAAGUAGCGUUGGAAAGGUCGCGGGUUAUAUAUUUUUUUUUAAAAAAAGUCAACUUAAUCACCCCGUCAAACUCAGUUUCCUUUCAGAAUCACCGUGAAUGUAUUGCCGUGGUCAGCCCGGCUGCCGCGAAGAGUUAGUCUCUGUUGCUCCGGUGAUUUCUUGCAGGGAGUCUUCGCAAUUGAGCAGAUUAAAAAUGAGCAAGGUAACUUGCCGGACCUGCAGUGGUCCGGCUGGGAAACCUAAGCUCAAACACAC